GGCUCUGCGAAAGGGGCUCAUACAACAGCCAUAAUUUACUUGAUGUUGAUAUUCCACGUGGAUAACUGUGGUAAUUCUAGAGCUAAUACAUGCACCAAAGCUCCGAUCUCAUGACGAGCGCAUCUAUUAGACCAAAAACCAAUCGAGAAUAUUCGCCUCAAAACGAAUGCCUCGUAAAUUUGGUGACUCUGAAUAGCUUAGCUGAUCGCAUGGUCUCGCACCGGCGACGUAUCUAUCAAGUGUCUGCCUUAUCAACUUUCGAUGGUAGUUUAUAUGCCUACCAUGGUUGUAACGGGUAACGGAGAAUAAGGGUUCGACUCCGGAGAGGGAGCCUGAGAAACGGCUACCACAUCCAAGGAAGGCAGCAGGCGCGCAAAUUACCCACUCUCAGCACGAGGAGGUAGUGACGAAAAAUAACGAGACCGUUCUCUUCGAGGCCGGUUAUCGGAAUGAGUACAAUUUAAAGCCGUUAACGAGGAUCUAUGAGAGGGCAAGUCUGGUGCCAGCAGCCGCGGUAAUUCCAGCUCUCAAAGUGUAUAUCGUCAUUGCUGCGGUUAAAAAGCUCGUAGUUGGAUUUAAGCUCGAUGACUCGGUCCAUCCAUAGGAUGAGAACUGAGCUCAUCGGCUAUCAUCGGCUGGUUUUGUCUAGGUGGCUUUAAACGGUUGCCUAGGCUGGCUAGCAAGUUUACUUUGAAAAAAUUAGAGUGCUCAACGCGGGCUUAAUGCCUGAAUAGUCGUGCAUGGAAUAAUGGAAUAGGAUUUCGGUUCUAUUUUGUUGGUUUUUUUAACCGAAAUAAUGGUUAAGAGGGACAGACGGGGGCAUUCGUAUCGCUACGUGAGAGGUGAAAUUCUUGGACCGUAGCGAGACGCCCGACUGCGAAAGCAUUUGCCAAGAAUGUCUUCAUUAAUCAAGAACGAAAGUCAGAGGUUCGAAGGCGAUCAGAAUAACCCGCCCAAACUC
rnacentral:rRNA from 1 species